rnacentral:rRNA from 1 species
UACGAAGGGUGCUAGCGUUGUUCGGAAUUACUGGGCGUAAAGCGCGCGUAGGCGGCCAUUCAAGUCAGAGGUGAAAGCCCGGAGCUUAACUCCGGAACUGCCUUUGAAACUGUAUGGCUUGAGUGUCGGAGGGGAUAGCGGAAUUGCUAAUGUAGAGGUGAAAUUCGUAGAUAUUAGCAGGAACACCGGUGGCGAAGGCGGCUAUCUGGACGACAACUGACGCUGAGGCGCGAAAGCGUGGGGGGCAAACAGG